GGGUUCCCAUGCUGCUCUGCCCGUUCCUGCCCAGCAGCUCCUCCAGAACACUCCUCACAGGAUUGCUGCAGCCUGGGAGGGCAGAGCUGCUCCUCUGGGCGCUCUGCUCUGUGGAGGCCGUGUCCUCUCAGACCUGCUGCACUCUGAAUAUAAACCCCCCUUUGUUGGGCACGGGGUGACUUGGCUGAGCCACAUGAUCAGUCAGGUGACAAAAUUGGGCACCAAAGCGGAGCAGAAUGAGCAGCUGGGUGAGGGCAGGAGCUGCUGAUCUCGCCUCUUGACAGGCUGUGUUACUCCUCAGGGAAAAAUGAGUGCCUGGCUCUGUCCUCUGCUGUGCAGCUUAACCAUGGUGUGCUUAACAGGUAUUGCUUUAGGCCAGACAACCAGCACUGGGGUUCCCAUUGGAUCCACCCCAGCACCUCCCAGUACAACCAGCACUGGGGUUCCCAAUACAACCAGCACUGGGGUUCCCAUUGGAUCCACCCCAGCACCUCCCAGUACAACCAGCACUGGGGUUCCCAAUACAACCAGCACUGGGGUUCCCAUUGGAUCCACCCCAGCACCUCCCAGUACAGCCCCUGCUCCAGCCUCUGCUCCCCCAGCUGCUGCUGCAACACUCUCAGCUGGGCUGACAGCAACCACUGCAGGCCCUGCUGCAUCCACAGCAGCUCCAUCUGCUGAUCCAAGCACAAAAACCCCUGCCCAGACUCUGCCCUCCACCACGGGGACUGUCCCCACCUCUCAGACUUCAGCACUGGCAGCCACAUCCAGCAGUGUCCCAGCGUCCCCUCCAGGAGUGACCCCAUCCCCUGGGCUCCCAUCAUCAGCUCUGCCCCCCAGCACCCCCCAGCCCUCCAACUGCAGCACAGAGAACGUGACAGCCUGUUUCCCCUGCCCCCCAGGGACAGCCCCCACACAAGCCUCCCAAGGAGCUCUGUGUGCCUUCCCUGCCCACCAGGACAUUUUGCUAAUGAGUCUGGGGCUGCAGCCUGCAGGGCCUGUGAGCGAGGCUAUUAUAGCUCCAAGCAAAAUGCAGCUUUUUGUCUGCCUUGCCAGCCAGGAUCCUUCUGCAAGUACAUUCAAAGGUGCCAAUGACAGCAGAUGCAAGGCCUGCAGGACAGGGGAGUACCAACUACAGCGGGGCAAGGAGAGCUGUGAGCAGUGCCCAGAAAACCACUACUGCCCUAGCCCGGAUGUGAAGCCAGUGAAGUGCCCCCCUGAUGCCUUCUGCCCGCGGGGCAGCGUGGAGCCCACCUACUGCAUGGAGCUGUUCCUGUACAAGGCAGGGGACUCCUGCCAGCUGACCCCUGCCACCGUCAUUGUCCUGGCCACCUUCUCAGCAGGUGGAAUCCUUGUUGUGUUUCUGAUCAUCCUGAGGAGCCGACAGGAGCACGGCAGGAGCUCCCUGAAGUCGCCGCUGCUGCCCCGGGGCUCAGGGCUGGGCUCCUACGGGGGCACGGAGCACACGGAGCCCGUCUAUGCGGGCUGGUAG
rnacentral:lncRNA from 1 species